UUUCAUUAAAGUAUAAAAAUAUAUUAAGUUUAGAACUUAAAGAAAAAAAUGAAAA
rnacentral:tRNA from 1 species